rnacentral:rRNA from 1 species
UGGGGAAUCUUGCACAAUGGGGGCAACCCUGAUGCAGCGACGCCGCGUGAGCGAUGAAGGUUUUCGAAUCGUAAAGCUCUGUCCUAUGGGAAGAUAAUGACGGUACCAUAGGAGGAAGCCCCGGCUAACUACGUGCCAGCAGCCGCGGUAAUACGUAGGGGGCGAGCGUUGUCCGGAAUUACUGGGCGUAAAGGGUUCGCAGGCGGCAUGGCAAGUCCGAUGUAAAAGGCGAAGGCUCAACCUUCGUAAGCAUCGGAAACUGUCAAGCUUGAGUGAAGGAGAGGCAAGUGGAAUUCCUAGUGUAGCGGUGGAAUGCGUAGAGAUUAGGAGGAAUACCGGUGGCGAAGGCGACUUGCUGGACUUAAACUGACGCUGAGGAACGAAAGCGUGGGUAGCAAACAGG